rnacentral:lncRNA from 1 species
GAGAAGUGGGAGAGACAUACCAUUCAAACUGGGACAAAGAAUAAAUAAAAAAGAUACAUAGUCUCAGGGCUAUUACAGAUAUUACAGUUUACAGAAGUUCACAAACCACACAUUCAAAUUACCAACAAUGAAGGUCAGACUGGCUGCUAGAUUGCUACCAAGAUGGAAUAGGCCUCCCCAAGGUGUCCUCAAAAUCAAUACCGAUGGAGCAUUUGUGCAGGUAACUAAGAAUGGUUCCUAGGGUUUCAUUAUUAGAGAUUACACCGGUGAACAUGUGCUAGCAGGUGCAGGAAAUGCUGGUCAGCCGGAAGCAGUUAGCUACCUCAAAGCCCUGGAGACAGCAGAAUUGUACGGCAUCUCCAAUGUGCAGCUGCAAGUUGACUCAAGUGUUCUAAAGGAGGCUAUUAUAUCUGAUGCACAUGAUCGUGCUCCUUGUGGAAUGAUUUUUAGGGAUAUCUGAAACCUGUUAGCUAAUGAGUUUAUGUGUUUAUCUAUUUCUCUCAUCCCACGUUGUUCUAACUCGUCUGCCCACGAGUUUGCUAGUUUGGGUUUAGUUUGGGACUCAGAACAGUCAUGCAUAUGGAUUGGUCCUCUUCUUGAUCCUAUAAAUGUGCAAGUGAUCCGCGAUUUAGUGGAAUCUGGUGAUGGUAAUGAAAGGCCGUAGAGCCACCCAAAUUUCAAAAAAAAAGUGUGUACGUGGAGUGGUUAAGGGACAAAUGCGUGAAGUAGGAGGUCAGGGAUUUGAGCAUCGGCAGCUGUGAAAAAUUGUGUGACCUUGUGGUUAUCCAGUGGGGCAUUUCCUGAUAUUAGAAUUUUUUUUCUAUUUUUUCUUUGUAACUUUUGUGCUCUAUUUUUAGAAAUCACAUCAGUACCGGUUUAAUAUUAGUGUCGGUUCAUUAGAACCGGCAGUGAUGUCAAUUCUAUAACCCUGCCGGUAUGGUUAUGCCGGUUCAAAAUCCUGGCACGGAAAGGUGAUUUUGAAUCGAUAAUAUUGCAGUGAUCUGGGGUAGUGUCCUAUUGAGCCAAUUCUCCGUGAAGUCAGCUAUAGAAGUGGGUCACUUUGGGCAUUCGGUCAGACCGAACCGAACCAACCGGUUCCUCGGUCAUUUUGAAAGUCCGGUCAUCAGAAAAUAAGGACCGAUCGGUCAGUUGGAAAAAAUGAAGACCGAGAAAUUUCGGUCUCGGUUAGUUCGGUCCGGUCUCGGUCACGACCGAACUAACCGGAGGAGCUAGGGUUGGAGGAAGCACUCACACUACAGUGCAGGGUGCGGCUGGUCGGAGCCUUGGAGGAGCCGGGGUCAUCACGGCCGCGCGGAGGUCGGAGGAGGAGCUGGAGCCGGGGUUAUUGCGGACUUGCGGCCGCGUGGAGGUCGAAGGAGGAGUUGGGGCCAAGCAGAGGUGGCGGAGGUCGGCACGGCCGCGGACCAGCGGCGGCCAGCGAGACUCGUGGACUGGACGGGGGCCGAGACUCGCGGAGUCGCGGUCGUGGACGACGGCCGACGCAGGGUCGGGGUCUCGGCUCUCGAUCUUGGCCUCUCGGGGACGGGGGGCGGGCGUCGGGUCUCGCUCGGCGCUCGCCGUCUCGGCCUCUCGGGGGCAGCCAGCAGGGACACAGGGUGAGGAUUGAUGAAUAUGUUCUAGGGUUUAGGUAUAUGGGCUGUUGAUGGGCUUCUUUCUUAGGCUUUCUCGGUUGCUGCUAGCAUGCUGCACAGAACUUCGGUUACUUCGGUUAAUCGACAUCUAUACCCGAACUAACCGUAUAAAGUUCGGUUAGUUAGAAGCAGGGACCAAACUCAUAACUGAAAAGUUCGGUCUCUCGGUCAGUUUGGUCUCGGUCUCGGUCAGUUCGGUUUGGUCUUCGGUCUUCGGUUAAUUACGCCCAAAAUGAGAAGUGGGAGAGACAUACCAUUCAAACUGGGACAAAGAAUAAAUAAAAAAGAUACAUAGUCUCAGGGCUAUUACAGAGAUUACAGUUUACAGAAGUUCACAAACCACACAUUCAAAGAUACAUAGUCUCAGGGCUCGCUGUUGAAGUCGAAGCUUCAAGCCUUCAACAGCUAGGAAGCUCAUAAACACACGCACUGGCAUAGUGGCAUGGGAUGGCAAGAUCCUUCAAUUUAUUCAGCUUGAAAACCACAAGACACAAAGUGUGCUGCCUGCACGAUCAUCAAGCAACGUGCAGCGCGUCACGGAGCGCGGCACGGAGACGGUCGGCCUCGCCGCGGCGCACGACAGCCGCGACGGUGCGGCCCCGCCCGCCGGCGUCGCGGUGCACGACGGCCGCGCCGCCGUCGCCGACGCCGUCCACGGCGUACUCCACGUGCGCCGGGCGCCGCCCCGCGAGCUCCAGCCCGUCGUACACCGCCAGGCCCUCGGCGUCCACGAACGUCAGGUUGGCGCCGUACACGACCACGUCGACGUCCUCCCCCUCCGCUCCGGCCAACGCCGCCGCCGCGACCGCGCUGGCCUCCUCGAGGUGCGCGCCGGCCAGCAGCGCCGCCAGCUUGGCGACGUCGACCGUCCCUGGCGACGAGCCGCCGGUCGCGACGACGUGGCCGAUGCGGUGCUCGUUGGCCAGCCCCGCCGGCGUCGGCGUCGGUUCGGUCUUCACGACGGUCACCGUGCGCGUCGCCUCCUCCUCCCCGCCGGGGCCUCGGAUCGCGGCCAGCGCCCUCCAGAUCAGCGCCGAGACCAGCUCGAACGGGCCCACCACAUGGCGCUGCUGAUGACCCUCGGGCGCCGCGCUGAGCAGGAGACCCUGCAGCUGCUGCUCGGUGACGUGGAAGGAGAAUGGCACCAUGUCACGGGUGGUCGGGACGGCCCAGUGAUCGCCGACGGGCGCGGCGGUGGCCUUGACCGACGGCGGCGGGGCCGCCACGCUGGCAGGUGAGGCCGCCGACGGCGGCAUGGCGAGUGGGUCUCUCAGGGUCGGUGCCGGGGCCUUCUUGCCGCUGAAGAGCUGCGCCCACUUGCUGAAGCAGGCGGCGGCGGAGGGGAUGUCGCCGAUGACGUGCGCCCAUGUGAAGCCGAGGGCCAUCCCGCCGCACUUGAAGCUGGUGACCUGCUCAAGUACUUGCCGCUCAGUUAGUGCCAGCAAAAGCUGGCAUUGUUUAGUUCGUCAAAAAUUUUACAAAAACUUUUAGAUUUCCCGUCACAUCAAAUAUUACGGAUAUAUAUGAAGCAUUAAAUAUAGGUUAAAAAAAUAACAAAUUACACAUUUUGCAUGUAAAUUGCGAGACGAAUCUUUUGAGCUUAGUUAGCCUAUGAUUGGACAAUAUUUGUCAAAUACAAAUGAAAUUGCUACUGUUCACAUUUUGCAAAUUUUUUUGCAAGUAAACAAGGCUAAAACUAUUUGGAAGAGCAAGAAAAACAAAAUACACCAGCUCCUAAAAUGAAAUACUACCUAUAGUAUUCAUAAGUUCAUAAAGCUUGUAGUUCUAUCUUUAUCCUAAAUUAUCUUUGAGGAUCAAUUCAUACAAAUUUGGAUAAUCUAGUAGCAUACAAAUUGUUAUCAUGAAAAUAUUUUUCACGAUGAAUCUAAAGAAAAUCUUAGUUAAAUUAUAUGACUUCUAGAAACUAAUGAUUAAAGAUAGAAAUGUUUGAUUUUAGUCAAAACUGUAAAACAAUAAUUUUUCUGAAAGGUCAUAUAAAGUUUACAUAGGUGGUGCUUCUAUCCCAACUAACAGUUGCAUGACAAAAAUUGAAUGUGGAUCUUUUUGUCUAUUAUUAGUGCACCGAUUAGUGGUUAAGCUAGCUAAGAGUAUCUCUAAUGGUCUUUCUUAAAUUUAUUCUCUAAAUCCUUCAACAAUUUUUCUUAAACUUACUCUUUAAAUACUCUUUUAUAGAGCCGUUUUAAUAAAAACUAUUGUCUAUAUUUUUUCAUCCUCUAACAGCUUCUCUAUAUUCUGUGCAUACUUCAGAUAGCCAACUCCGCUAUCUUUUUUGGCUAUUGAGAAAUAAGGAAUAGAGUAUGAUAAUACUGUAUACCGCAUUGAAGGUUUCCAAGACAAAGUACUCACUCAUAUUAGAAAGAAUGCAAUUUCAACUUUGGUUCAAGUCAAGACAUCUUAAUCUGGACCAAAUUUAUAUGAACAGUAUAUUAAUACAUAUGAUAUACUUUGCAUAUGUAUUAUUAGGUUUGCUAUGGAAUAUAUUAAUAUAUAUCUAUAGUUGUUUAUGUUGAUAAUAUUUUUCAUAAAGUAAAACUAAAGAUAGUUUGACUUUGAUUAAACCUAGAAUUACAUUCUUUAUUCUUUUUAUUAGGGGGGGCGCGGUAGUACUAUCUUGAUACGAGCUUAUGAUAAACGGCUCUGGCCUUUUUUUCUUUGUAUGAUGGAGUCGAAGCCAAUAAAACAAAAACACUAAUUAUUAUCGGCUCUUAAUUCUAGUACUUGAAAGGACAAGGGACACAACAGUAUAUGCUACUCUAUCACUCUAGUCUGUCGCCUCACACUUCAAGUAGCUCCAUGUGCAUGAGCGCCCGUUUCUGUGCGGCUGCAAUGCACCUACAGUGAGAAGUGAAGAACAUGUACUAGUGCUAGCGCAUCUCAACCACCCGUUGUUUUAAGAACAAUUGAAAUUAUGAUCCGCUCAACUGCGGUACCCUCCGUGCUUCGACUUUGGGUUCAGUAACUUUGAGACCAUGUUUGGAUCAAUGGAUUCUUAAAUGAAUUUUGAAAUAAUAAACUCUAAAAAAUGUAAAAGAAUCAUAUCAUAGUGUUUGAAACGAAGGAAAUUUAAGUUCCUUUCCAAAGGAAAGGAAAUCAGAGUAGUGAAAAAUGUAGGAAAUAAAACCUUCACUCAGCUCCAACUCAAUUAAGGGAAAGAAAAUUUGCUCCUCUUGCUAUGUUGGUCCAUGUUCUGGACAUUUUCUCCUGCAUUCCAAACAGCUCAAAGUAUCUAUUUAUGUGUUUUGGAAUCUACAAAAUUUUUCACUAUUCACUCCAUCCUAUUCUUGCAGGGUUUUUUCUUUUCUAUUCAUGUCUUGUACUUUAUCCUAAAUUAUAAGACGUUUGAUUUUUUUAGCUCAAGUUUAACCACUCAUCUUAUUAACAAAUUAUGAAAACAUAGCUAAAUUUAAUUCAUUUUUGAAGAACUUUUAUUAAUAAAUCAAGCCACGACAAAAGAAAUGAUAUUUUGUUAGGAUGAGUAGUUAAACUUGAUGUUAAAAAGUCAAACAUUUUAUAAUUUAGAAUUGAUUGAGUACUCCUUUGUUCCAAACAGAAUAUGAGAAUGUUAUUUAUGUAACGUGAGCACAUCUUUUACAUUGCUCUCUCUCUCUAAGUCUGUAACCCCAAAUGCACCUCCAAAACUCUAGUAUAAAGUUCAGACCAGCAUUAUUCGCCUGCCGUACGUAGCCGCGUUUAAGAAAACAUUAUGAUCCGCGUAUUAAACUAGUAGUAUUUAUUAAAAGUGAGUUGCAAGAAAUUAAAAUGAGAGUAGAUGUGUGUGAGAGGCCAAUUAUUUGGCACGAUAUAUGCAGAUACCUGCACGUAGAGCAGCGGCGAGAAGAAGAGCUCCGGCCCGAUCACCUUGUCGUAGGCCAGCGCCUUGCAGAGGCCGCCGCGCUCCGCCUCCGCCUCCAGCCACUGCUCCACGGUGGCGUCGCAGGCCACCUCCACGACGCGCACGCCGCAGUCGUUGCACCGCACGUACGGCCGCCGCCCCACCGCUGCUGCGGCGGCGUCGUCCUUGCCGUCGCCGUCGCCGUCCUCCGCUUGGCGGCGCCGCCGGAGCCGGCCGCUGACGGGGAAGUACAUGUCCAGCCACGGGAACAUGGGCUCCUUCAGCGCCUCCAUGGCGAACGCCGCCGGCGCGCGGAACACGUGCACCGCGCGGAGGUAGUGCAGCUUGUGCAGCAGGUCGGCGUCCGCCAGCUCGUAGUUCACCUCC